rnacentral:rRNA from 1 species
UACGGGGGGGGUAAGCGUUGUUCGGAAUUACUGGGCGUAAAGGGCUCGUAGGCGGCCAACUAAGUCAGACGUGAAAUCCCUCAGCUUAACUGGGGAACUGCGUCUGAUACUGGAUGGCUUGGAUUCGGGAGAGGAAUGCGGAAUUCCAGGUGUAGCGGCGAAAUGCGUAGAUAUCUGGAGGAAUACCGGUGGUGAAGGCGGCAUCCUGGACCGACAUUGACGCUGAUGAGCGAAAGCUAGGGGAGCAAACGGG